UUCAUCUAUCAUAAAUAUCCCAAUCUUUAUUAUAAUCAUAUUUUUGGUCCAGAAUUUGACAUUUUCAUUAUUCAUCACCAAAAUUUGACCCAAGUACACUUUGAUGACCAGUUAUAACAGAUGACCCGAUCCAAAUAAAAGGAAUAUGAAAAGUUUCCUAUAUUUGUAAAAAAAAUCUGAUAUUAGGGCAUAGAGUACAUUGUAGUUUUCACUUCAUCUUUCCAUUUCCUCUAAAGUGGUGGCAUCGAUUCAUCUCUCUCCUUCUCUGGGUGAUUUGCAAACCUAAUCCAUGUUGUUCAAGGUUGAUUGUUGCUCUUACUAUCAUCUGUGCCUCAGGUAGUUAGGGUUUAUCCCCACAACACCAAAGAAAUGCCUAGUUUGAAUCCCUUGGUGCAUUCAAAGGAGUCGGCCCUAUAAGGACACAAUUAAAGGAUCGGUCAAUUGAAGGGAGAGGAGAAAAUUCAUCCUCAAAUUUGCCAUGAGGCAAAGUGAAGGGUACCUAUACAAAGCCGACAUAACAACUAAAAGACUUAGGUAAAAAUCCUCUUCAAACCAUCAAGAGGGAUAUUUUAUAUCAUUCUAUGCCGAGAGGGCCAUUCAAUUUCAUUCUAUUACAGAGAGGGCCAUGACAAGAGGUCUAUUCCAUUUUACUUCAUUGCUAAAAGGGCCAUUAUGUCAUUCAACUAAGUCUCCGUAAUCACUUUCUAUGCAAGACGAUAAGGUCUGGCCUUGGAAGAUGCUUUAUAUCACCUAUAUCUAUUGAUCAUACGAAUAUAACAUGAUCUGGUGUUGAAAAUAUCUCAGCAUUUUAUAUUUGUUGACCAUAAAAAAAAAACGAUAUAGCCCUGCGUCAAGGAUAUAUCAGCAUUUUAAGGAUUAGCAUGCAUCAAUAUGUCAAGAUAAAAAGCACAUAACUUGAAGGGAUGCCUUUAAUUUGCUAUCUAAAAGCAGACAAUGUAUGAGAUUUCCUAAAGAUUGACAAUUCGAGGGUCAUUUAUAAAUCACACUAUUUGAAAUAGGAUAGUGUGUGAGAUUACCUAUGAGUUCAUAUUCCAUAAAUUAUUUGUAAGCCAUAACAAUAUCCUAACUAUAUAGUGUGCAAGGUUACCUAAGAAUUGGUAGUUGGAAGGCUAUCCAUAAGUCGCUACUAAAUACUUACCAGAAAUAUGCGAGAUUACCGAAUUGAUAUGUAUAAGGGUUUUCUAUAAGUCAUGUCAUAUCCAAGAUUGAUUAUGCACAGGAUUACCCAAAUACUAGUAAUUUGAGAGAUAUUUAUAAGAUGUAUUAUAUCCACGGUCAGAUGGUGUGCAAAAAUACCUAAGAGCUAGCGACUCGCAAGAUAUCUGUAAGUCAUCUUUUAUCCAAGGUCAAAUAAUGUGUAAAAUUACCCAAAAAUCUAGAAACUCAAAGAAUAUCUUUAAGUCACCUCAUAUCCAACAUCAAAUGAUGCGCAAUAUUAUCUAAAGAUUGAUAAUUCAAGGGAAAUCUAUAAGUCGUAUCGAUAUGAAAGAUAUGUAAGACUUGACCGAGGUCACAUGUAAAGGAUCAUUGUCAAUAACUGAAGAGGUUAUCAUUCCAUAUGCAAAAAGAACUAUAGUUGACCAAGAGUGUUUCCACAUCAGCAGAAUAUUAAGCGGUUGUAGGGACCGUUCUACCCAAAAUGUCAUUAGUGUCCAAGAGAGCCACCCUACUUUGAAGACAUAUUUAAUUGACAAAAGAGCUAUUUUAUUCAACAACCAAGAGGGUUGUUGUGCUUAUUAUUGCAAGUUAUUACCCUCCAAUAGGCACAUGUGGGGAGGACUUCACUUUUUGAAUAACAACUCACGUGGAGAUAUGGUAAAAAUCUAUAUACCACUUUCGUGAAUUAUGUUUAUUACUAACAAUGUUUGAGAUAUUAUAGAGAGCAUCAGAGAUGAUGAAAAUCUAAAAUCAAAAUCACAGGUGUGGAUGACUCCUAAAAGGAUGCAACAAAACGUGAAUCUUUUUCUUAGUAGCAAAUCAGGACAUAUUCUAGAGAGGGACGUCAAACUUUUUGGACGCGAGAUAAAGGAUGAGUGCCACCACCAUCAAACCACAUCUCUAUUAGACUGCAUGUGGUAUUUUGGGAUAUUCUGGUUUCAAUUAUACUUCUGUGAUAUCUCUAGAUUCAUACUGGAAGUAACCUUCUCUUUCAUUCAAAUUCGAGUGAUAGCACACCUCGAGUUUUGGAAACUAUGUUUGGGUAGAUUCUUACCUAUGGAUGUGAAGAGCUCCACAUUUAUGGUUAAGAGGUUACAAGCCUCUUUUCUGCAACUCAAUCAACUUAUCACUCAUUCUAAGCCAAACAUAGUCUAAAAUAGGAGACUAUUUUUUUUAUCGAUCAAGUCAAACUACAAGAAGUCUGAUUCCUUUAGUCUCACGGAUAUAUAGGUGGGGCUCUAUGUUGAAAACUAGAUUGCAUUCCAACCUUCCCAUAAUCCAUAUAUUCCAUAGCUUCCCAAUUUAACUAGAAUUCAAAAAUUAGAAUAACUUGUGAAUACUUUGAAAAUCGUGCAUAGAGUCAAGCUUUAUGAACUACAAAUAGCCUGAAUUCUCAUGCAACCUAAAAUAUGUUGGAAACUAGAUACAUAGGUCCGGCCAUAAUUCCAUGAAACUCGUGUGAGAUCCAACCUCUUUCAUAAAUAAAUUUAUGAUCGAACAAGAAGUAACAUCAAACUCCCUUUGCCCAGGGUUGCUUACUUCCACCCUACCCAAAGGGAGGGGACAGUUAUUGACACCUAAUUUUUGUCCUCCACAUCUAAGUUUAAUACUAAUUUUCUUCAAUUUUAAAUAAAAUAUUUAUUUUAUUUGAAAAAAAGACUUUUCAAAGUAUUUAUCUAGAUAAUUUUGUCAGUUUAAGUAACAAUUAUAUAUUUUUAUAUUCGCAUAUAUGAAUUCAUAUAAUUUUGUUACUUAAAUAAUUGUUUUACAAAAAAUUAAAUUUUAAUUAAGGAUUUUCUUGAAAAUUAUUUCAAAUAAAAAAAUUAUUUAUUUUUUAUUGAAUCAAGAAGCUCAGGAUUGAAUUGGUUGUUAAUCUAUUUCAAAUGUUGUUUUAAUUUAGUCAAUUUAAUAAAUUGGACCUUAAUUGAAAUCGAUUUGGCCAUAUUACAAUGUAAUUGGUCAAUUGAAUUUUAAUUAGGCUAAAAUUUAAAUGCAAUUGUCUAAAUUUUCCUUUGAUGGCUAUUUGAUAAAUAAAAAAAAAAUAGCCGAAAUCCCUAAAAUUCAUAAAUUCCUAAUUAAGCCCCUCAAUUAAACCCGCCCUAGCGACCUAACAAUAAUAACCCAAUUUCAGCCGACAACUAACAACCAACAACAUCCCAAAAUAUGUUUCCGACCUGGCCCACUCUUUCUUUUGUUCUUCAUAGCAACGAUAAACAAAACAAUGCGUAUACGUACAGCUUCAGUAAUUCGCGACAACGAUAGCAAAAACAACGAUUUCAACAAUGGUAAAACACUAAUCCAGCAAGCCCCUCUAAGUUGUUAAAAUUUUGUAGACAAAUGCGCGUUUGGCAUGAGAGGUUGUACUGGAGAAUCUUCCUAUAAAAUUCCUCAAAUAUUCAAUCCUUAUCCUCUUCUCAAUUUCAAAAUUCAAAUUUGUACUGAAGUAGUACAAAUCAACCUCAUCAAUCUCCUCAAAUUUGUUUCCCCCUCAAAUUUCCCCCAAAAUCAAGAAUGUUCUUGAAUGGAACAGUCGAUGCAAUCCUAUUCGUCAAUGCUACGAACUAGGAUGGAACCCCUCUCAUCAUCCUCCAUCAUCGAGAUUCAUCUUUAGCCAUUUGUUUCAAAGUUUUCCCUAUUAAAAGUCCCAAAAUUUCCCCUGAAUUUUGGUUGUUCCCACAUUGGUGGGACUUCAUAGGUGUGACCCUCCAUUCCUUCUAUAAAAGUCUCACUGUAGAGAUGAAUUUGCAAGCCUUAGAAGGUUGGAAAAAAGCAUUUUGAGCAUAAUGACUUGAAAAUUAUUUUUGAGCAAGAGAAUUUUCAUUAGAAGUUCUGUUAGUUAAAGUUUAGUCAGGUCGAUUUUGAAUUCUCGAUAAUGGUCAAGAUUCUGAUGAUAGCCCAUAGUUCCGUUUUGCUCCCCCAGAAAAGGUAAACACUUUCUAUUUUAGUUUGUUAUAGUCUUUCUUCUUCAAAUACUUGUUCGUAGUUUCAUAAUAAUGUUGUUGGGAUUGUUUAUUGCAGAAGCCUUGAAGGCUUAGGAUUUUUGUGUGGCAAUAAUUGUGUUUUGUCGUUUCUUAUGUUGGAUAAAUAUUAUGGCCGUGUUUAACUCACUGUUUUGGUUGUAUGUUUGAGAAUUUAUGGCUUUAGUUUGACUUUGCUUAUAAGAGAGUUGUUGUGCCUGUUAAUCGCAAAAUUAUCAUCAUAUGAUUAGUUUUAGUAUUAUCAUCAUUUCUUUCGAUUUCAAAUUCUCAUUUUAGCCUAUUAUGUUGCCUUUAGUUUUCUUUGAUUUAAAUGCUAUUUGAUUUACUAUUUCUAUAUCGAUUAAAUAUAUGUUGGCCUUAGAUUUAUCACUGAACACUCUAUCUAAUUAAAAGCCCCCCUUAGUCGUCGUCUCUUCGAUCCGAUUGUUUAAGUUAAGGUUACAUUCAUCGAAUUUUUAGUAUCACUAUCCUUGUUCCACCCCUAUUAUGUCCAUCUUGAUAGUUAUUUGGACUAUUUUACUUUCUUUGAAUAUGUUAGAACUUCUCUUGGUUUAUCUUGAUUUGCAAUAUCGAUAAAAGUAAGUAGAGUAAGUUCAUGAACGAACGAUUCAUUUGAGGAACCCUUUAUGAUCCUUUUAUGCAUAAAUUUCUUCGUGAACUAUUCAGGGAGAGGAGUAGGGUGAUUUAACAUUGACAAAAACCAAUACGUAUUUCGUUCAAGGUCAAAUCUUUAUUUCUAGGUGAAUUUGUUUAAUUUCGCAUGAUAUCAUUUGGAAUAAUAUGUUACCUUUAUGGAUGUCCAGCUUUUCUCUUGUGUUUGCUUGCCAUGAUUGUAUUAUUCUUAAUUACUAGUGAUAAUAGCUACGCUUUGCGCGGUUAGAAAUAACAUUAAUAAAUUUAUAUUAAUAAUAGAUAUUGUCGUAGAUUAUUAUAAAGAAAAUUAUUUGUUUUUACAGAAAGGAUUAAUGAGGGUCAACAAUUAAUUAGCAAUGCAAUAAUUCAAUGAGUAAUAUACAAUUAAAGCCACUGAGAGUUACAAAUGUGGAAGAUGAAGGAACUAUUUUCUAACACCCUCGUCAUCUUCAGUACUUGUUUUGCAGCAUAUCGUUGUUCCUUCAUAUCCUUGUGGACUGUUUAUUCAUCACUGGAAAGAACAAAAAACUCACCUUUAUAAACUUAGAUUCCUCCUGCUCAUUCCACCUAGGAGCAUAUAUUUUCAAGGUAGAAUAAUAGUAUAUCAACUUGCAUAGAUCUAUUAUGUAAUUCUUUUUAAUCCCGUUGUGUCGUUUGUAUGUGUUAUUAUAUAACAUGCAACUUGCUUUAUUACAGUACAGAGACUCCAAUUAACGACUUAUGUUCGUUCACUGUCAUCUCUUAAAUUUUGAAAGGCUGGGUUAUUAUUCGGUGCUAA